rnacentral:rRNA from 1 species
UACAGAGGGGGCAAGCGUUGUCCGGAAUUAUUGGGCGUAAAGGGCUCGUAGGCGGUUUGUCGCGUCGGGAGUGAAAUCCACUGGCUUAACUGGUGGCUUGCUUUCGAUACGGGCAGACUGGAGGUAUGCAGGGGAGAACGGAAUUCCUGGUGUAGCGGUGAAAUGCGCAGAUAUCAGGAGGAACACCGGUGGCGAAGGCGGUUCUCUGGGCAUGUCCUGACGCUGAGGAGCGAAAGUGUGGGGAGCGAACAGG